GACGAACGCUGGCGGCGUGCUUAACACAUGCAAGUCGAACGGCAAGGCCCUGCUUUUGUGGGGUGCUCGGGUGGCGAACGGGUGCGUGACACGUGUGUAACCUGCCCUUGAUUUUGGGAUAACUUCAGGAAACUAGGGCUAAUACCGGAUAGGAGCCCCUGCUGCAUGGUGGGGGUUGGAAAGUUUCGGCUGUUGGGGUUGGAUUCGCGGCUUACCGGCUUGUUGGUGGGGUAGUGGCUUACCCAGGCUUUGACGGAUAGCCGGCUUGAGAGGGGGACCGGCCACAUUGGGACUGAGAUACGGCCCAGACUCCUACGGGAGGCAGCAGUGGGGAAUAUUGCACAAUGGGCGGGAGCCUGAUGCAGCAGCGCCGCGUGCGGGAUGACGGCCUUCGGGGUGUAAACCGCUUUCGCCUGUGACGAAGCGUGAGUGACGGUAAUGGGUAAAUAAGCACCGGCUAACUACGUG
rnacentral:rRNA from 1 species